ACAACCCUGCGUCAGAGUGGAGGGGCCUGCUGCAGGAGACUCCCCCACACCGGAGAAUCAGCAACUGGCUGACGACCUGAAGGUGUUUUACUGUAGGUUUGAUAAGCCCGCACUCACACCCAUCACCCACUCCGACAUUAAACGACCAUCUGCGCCCCUUGCCUGCCCCCCUCCCCACUGACGUAACAAAAGCCCUCCCUGGCUAAACGAACAUGAAGAAGAGAGCUCUACAGGUGUUCCACCAAAUGCUUAAAGGUUGCAUGAGGGAUUAUAAUGCUGACUCUGAUCUCCAGAAACCACCAUAAUUGUAGAAUCCUGUUUAGGACUACUGACUGUGCUGUUGGUGCCCCUCAAAACUGUGACAGAUAGGCUUCUCCUGAACUCUGUAACCGGUUUUUAACCCAUUUUAAAGACAAAGUCGAUUCCAUCAGAUCACCAUUCAACAGCAGUCAACCUCUCGCGGGAGCUCCUAAAUCUAGGAGAUUAGUUGAACCCACCCCAAGCCCAUCUACUGAAAGAGGUUCUUCCCACCAUUGGCCCUCACGUGUUGUGUUGCUAACAGCUCCCUGAACUCUGGGUCUUUUCCCGCCUCAUUUAAAAUGGCUUUGGUCUUUCCCCUAGACCCCACAGCUGUUAACAGCAAAUCGUGUGUGUCAUUCACUGAUCAGGAUGUUCAUGCGUUCAUCUCAUCACGUCUUAACUAAUGCUCCCAAAAGUCUCUCCAUUUUCUCCAAUUUAUAAAAAAUGCUGCAGCUCAGCUCUUAAAAGCCACAUUAGACCUAUUUAAGCUUCUUUGCAUUGGCUCUGUCUGUGGCCCUGUUUGGCACCUCCUUACAUCUCCGAGCUGCUCUCCCUUAUGACCAAACGCCCUGCCUGAGGCAAACUCUCUUAUCCGUUCCAAAGUCACGGCUAAAAACUGAAGGGGACUGUGCAUUUGCUGUCAGAGCCCCCAGACUUUGCCUCCCUGCCUGAGGAGAUCAGGCGUGCUGAAUCGGUGCCCCCAUUUGAAAUCACUCCUCAAAACACACUUGUAUAAAGCGGCUUUUAAUUCUUGAUUCCGAUGCUUUGAUCUUGGUUUUAUUUUGGUUUUUACUUUUACUUUUUGUCUGUUUGUUUAAUCCAUUGUAUUGUUUCUAUAUUCAUAUCUGUCUCUUUUCCCCAUGCCUUGUUUUUGCUUUGCUCUGUUUAAUGUAUGCACAGCACUGUAACUGCACUACAUCCUGCAACGCCUCGACUCCCCAGGGACAUAUGCAAGGAUCCAGUUUGUGGACUUCAGCUCGGCGUUCAACACCACCAUCCCAGACAUCCACCCAGCUCACUGUGCCAGCCCCCACCUGUCAGUGGAUCACAAACCUCCUGACAGACCGGAGGCAGCAGGUGAGGCUGAGGAAACUCACAUCCAGCACCGGGACAAUGGGCACUGGCGCCCCCCAGCGCUGUGUGCUCUCCCCACUGCUCUUCUCCCUCUACACCAACGACUGCACCUCAGGAGACCAGACUGUCAAACUCCUGAAGUUUGCAGACGACACAACGGUCAUCGGCCUCAUCCGGGACGGGGACGAGUCUGCAUACAGACGGGGGGUUGGACAGCCGGCCCUCUGGUGCGGUCAGAACAACCUGGAGCUGACCACACUCCACUGCCCCCCCAUCACCAUAUCCAACAACAUGGUGUCUGCUGUGGAAGCCUUCAGGUUUCUGGGAUCCACAAUCUCCCCGGACCUAAAGUGGGGCGUCCAACAUCGACACCAUCAUCAAAAAGGCCCAGCAGAGGACGUCCUUCCUGUUCCGGCUCAGGAGGUUCAACCGGCCUCAGGAGCUGCUGAUCCAGUUCUCCUCUGCACAUCUGUCACCGUCUGGUUUGGAUCGGCCACCAGACGAGAAAAAAAAUCCUCGGUGCCGACCUGCCCCCCAUUCAGGACUUAAACGCGUCCAGAGUCAGGAAACGGACAGGAAACGUCACUGCAGACCCAUCACACCCCGAACACAACCUGUUCCACCUUCUCCCCUCUGGGAGGCGCCACAGAGCCCUCUGCUCAGCCACAACAGAUCAUCUGUUUCCAUCUCGCUGGCAACCCGGUAUCCGCAUAUUUGAUUUGGUAUAGGCUUUUUACGCUGGACCUCCUUCCUGACAGAACCCUCCCCAUUUAUCCGGGCUUAGGACCGGCAAUUAGGAACGCACUGGCUUAGGCAUCCCCAGUGGCUGUGGAGCAACCCGGGGUUCAGUGUCUUGCCCAAGCAUCAGUAGAGGACCCGCUCUACCAGCCGUGCCACAGCCGCCCUACAAAUGAUGUAUUUACAGUUUUAAAUACACACUGUGCUUUAACAUGUACAUAUCAUCUAUUAUCAAAUAUGUAAACAUGUAUACAUGCAUACACUGUACAAAAGCACCCACUUCUUGUGUAUAAAGUAAUCUAGUACUUUACCCAUUCAGUAUGUAUAGUCAAAUACAUGACGGCUGAAUUCCAUUUAGCUGCUUCAGUUUCAGGGUCCUGGUGCUGUGCAUGCUGGCUCACUGUCACCCUUGCUGCAUGACUAGCAGCGCGUUUUAGAUGUUAUCGUCCUCUCUGUUAACUUGUUUUUAAUGAAUCAAUCCAUAAAUUACAGGAAGUGAUUAAGCGUCUUUUAGCUCACAGUUUUGGCUUUAUGGCACAUUUACUGUAUGGUUCAGUCUCAACGCUCUUAUCAGCCAGCAGCAGACACUACCUGCUGUGACAGACAAGAUACUGGCGCCAGAUAUUGUUCUCAGGAGCUGGUGGAGGCCAAACCAGAGCGAAAAGGGGAGUGAAUGUUGGACUUACAGCGAUCAGGUGGCCAGAAACACGACUGGGAUGAUAAUGCUGCUCUGCUGGAUGUGGAAUUAGGCAGCUGC